UCACUGGAGGGCUAGUGGUUAGGCAACAGCGCUCUCACUGCUGUGGCCCAGGUUCGUUUCCCAGCCAGGGAA